UCCUCUCUCCUCUCUCUCUCUCUGUCUGUCUAUCAGUAGGUCUCUUUCUCUCCCUUUUGUGUGUGGGGUGCUCACUUCCCUCCUCUUUGCAUCAUCAUCUGAUUUUCCAGUGGGCACCCUUUGAAGCACAUCCAGUGUGAAUGUCCCUGGCAAGAACAGUUUUCUCUUCAACAUUCAGCUCUCAGAACAUUCCUGAAUGCAGGCUUCUCAGAACGAGUAGCUGGAUUUCCAGGGGGCCCUGAAUUCAUCCCCUAGAGUCCCCCCUUCAAGUAGACAUUUGCACAACUACAGAAAGAGCACAGUUUAGCCACAGCAUCUCAAACAAAUUAGUACCAGAACCGAUGGAUGGAGAGGCUUAAAUACACACAGCAUGUAUAUUUAUAUUUACUGUGAUGAUUACGGUAGUAUCGAUGAAGCCGGAAAAUAAAGAUGAAGCAGAACCAAAAAGCUCUGUUAGACAUGGAGAAUAAAAUGAUCAGAAUGACAGCUUAUUUGGCUCCACUUAGUAACAGUGUGGAUUAAGCCAUGGAAGAGAUGUGGCAGAAGCUGAGUAAGAAGGAACGGCAGUGUUUGCGUGACAAUCACAUCUCUUGUCACAUCUUGUCACAUCUCUUGGCCUCUGGAUAUAUGAAUGACCUGGUGAAGAAACCUCCUACUUUCAUCCACCACGUAUCUGCACCAGUCUCUUAUAUGUCUCUUACUCAAGUCUUUUAUGGUGCACACCGGUCU
rnacentral:lncRNA from 1 species